AAAUCAUUUUGGGGGUAAUUCCUUAUUAAUCCCUUGUAUCGCUCCCAUGCCUCAUAAAGUGACUCCCCCGGUUGUUGCUCGAAAUUAGCUAUUACCUUCUUGAGUUU